rnacentral:rRNA from 1 species
GAUGAACGCUGGCGGCGUGCCUAAUACAUGCAAGUCGAGCGAACAGACGCGGAGCUUGCUCCUCUGACGUUAGCGGCGGACGGGUUAGUAACACGUGGAUAACCUACCUAUAAGACUGGGAUAACUUCGGGAAACCGGAGCUAAUACCGGAUAAUAUAUUGAACCGCAUGGUUCAAUAGUGAAAGACGGUUUUGCUGUCACUUAUAGAUGGAUCCGCGCCGCAUUAGCUAGUUGGUAAGGUAACGGCCUACCAAGGCAACGAUGCGUAGCCGGCCUGAGAGGGCGACCGGCCACACUGGAACUGAGACACGGUCCAGACUCCUACGGGAGGCAGCAGUAGGGAAUCUUCCGCAAUGGGCGAAAGCCUGACGGAGCAACGCCGCGUGAGUGAUGAAGGUCUUCGGAUCGUAAACCUCUGUUAUUAGGGAAGAAAAAAUGUGUACUUAACUAUGCACGUCUUGACGGUACCUAAUCAGAAAGCCACGGCUAACUACGUG